rnacentral:lncRNA from 1 species
CCCUGAUGCUCCUUGAUCUCCACAGGCCGUCGGACCUAUUUUAUAGCCACAAAAUCUAGUCCAAAUCGAAGUCCUACCUUCAACAAGAGUCAGCAACUCUUUUCAACCAUUGGAUCUUCACCGCUCACAUUCGUAGCCCUUAGAUCAUGCAAAAUAGCGCUCCUGGCUGCCCAAUCAUGCCCAUGCAAGCCUCCCAGCCAUCGGAUCACAUCC